rnacentral:rRNA from 1 species
CCCUUAGAUGUUCUGGGCCGCACGCGCGCUACACUGAUGCAUUCAACGAGUCUAAAACCUGCUCUGAUAGGGGUGGGUAAUCUUUUGAAUGUGCAUCGUGAUUGGGAUAGAUGAUUGCAAUUUUUCAUCUUCAACGAGGAAUGCCUAGUAAACGCAAGUCAUCAGCUUGCAUUGAUUACGUCCCCGCCCUUUGUACACACCGCCCGUCGCUCCUACCGAUUGAAUGAUCCGAUGAAUAUCAUAGAUUGAGGAUGCAAGUAGGUUCGCCUAUCUUCAUCUUCGAGAAGUGAAGUAAAUCUUAUCAUUUAGAGGAAGGAGAAGUCGUAACA